rnacentral:rRNA from 1 species
UGGGGAAUAUUGCACAAUGGGCGCAAGCUGGAUGCAGCAACGCCGCGUGCGGGAUGACGGCCUUCGGGUUGUAAACCGCUUUCAGCAGGGACGAAGCGAAAGUGACGGUACCUGCAGAAGAAGCACCGGCUAACUACGUG